rnacentral:rRNA from 1 species
UACGUAGGGUGCAAGCGUUAAUCGGAAUUACUGGGCGUAAAGCGUGCGCAGGCGGUUUUGUAAGACAGAGGUGAAAUCCCCGGGCUCAACCUGGGAACUGCCUUUGUGACUGCAAGGCUUGAGUGCGGCAGAGGGGGAUGGAAUUCCGCGUGUAGCAGUGAAAUGCGUAGAUAUGCGGAGGAACACCGAUGGCGAAGGCAAUCCCCUGGGCCUGCACUGACGCUCAUGCACGAAAGCCAGGGGAGCGAACGGG